rnacentral:lncRNA from 1 species
ACAUCAUCUCCAAAUAGAGGAUAAAUACCUGAUAUAAUAAGUUGCAACAAAUCAAUAGAUGAAUCUCAACGUCGAUUUGUUAUAUUAUUUUCUUUCCUUUAUAUCACUUAACUCACAGUCUUUAGUCCUUAUUAAGGCGGCACAGUCUUUAGUCUAUAUUUAUUACACAAGGCACUAGACAAUGAUCCUUACUCUUCUUAUUCUUGUUGUUGUUAUUAUUCUAUUUCAACCGUAUUCACUGCCCAGUGCGGGUUUUAGUGCAUUAUAUUACGGAAGUCAAGAUGAUCAAACGGCGUUACUGCCCAAAGUGCGGGUUUCAUUAAGGAGUCGGGUUCUCUCUCUGUGUGUUACGUCCAUCCACUUCCACAAAGUGUCGAGUGACAUUUCACAGAGGGUCGUACUCUGUAACCUCUUAAUGUUUCCAAUUCCGAUAACAGACUUAUAAAGACAGAUUUAUUUGUUUCACUUUGACGACUUAUAUCGCCAUAACAUUCCCGAUAUUAUU